UACGUAGGGUGCGAGCGUUAAUCGGAAUUACUGGGCGUAAAGCGUGCGCAGGCGGUUUUGUAAGCCAGAUGUGAAAUCCCCGGGCUCAACCUGGGAAUGGCAUUUGGGACUGCAAGGCUGGAGUGCGGCAGAGGAAGGUGGAAUUCCACGUGUAGCGGUGAAAUGCGUAGAGAUGUGGAGGAACACCAAUGGCGAAGGCAGCCUUCUGGGUCGACACUGACGCUCAUGCACGAAAGCGUGGGGAGCAAACAGG
rnacentral:rRNA from 1 species